rnacentral:rRNA from 1 species
UACGUAGGGGGCAAGCGUUGUCCGGAUUUACUGGGCGUAAAGAGCGUGUAGGCGGCCAAACAGGUCCGUUGUGAAAACUGGAGGCUCAACCUCCAGACGUCGACGGAAACCGUAUGGCUAGAGUCCGGAAGAGGAGAGUGGAAUUCCUGGUGUAGCGGUGAAAUGCGCAGAUAUCAGGAAGAACACCUAUGGCGAAGGCAGCUCUCUGGGGCGGUACUGACGCUGAGACGCGAAAGCGUGGGGAGCGAACAGG